UGCAAACAGGGAGCAGCAAAUUUCUAUCUCUGUGAAGCAAUCUGCAAUAACCGCACCUGGUCUUCUCAUUAUCUUCAUCAAACAUGCUCAUCGCAUCACGUCAUCUGUCUGACUGUGCUCCAUUUCCACGUGCCACGCGCCACUCACAGGGCCCAAACUUUCCUCACCCAAAUCUGCUUAACCUUUAAGGUUCUUCUCAAGGCCUGCUUCCUGAAUUCUCUGUUAUGGUACACAGGAAUAGCUACAUUUUUCAAAGAAGGGAGAUGCAGACUCCAAACUGAAGAUGAGCAAGGAUAAACCGAAGCAUAUACUAAAAUUUGGAUCAGUUAAUGUAAAGCAGCCUCACAACUUUUAAAUGUACCCUCGCAUAAUGUACCCAAGGUACAUUUUCUACUCAGUCUCCUACUAGAAAUUAUGCAAACCUCUACAAAAAGACAUACAGCCCAGAUAUACAGAUCCAAGGGUGCAGGCCUGACACUGACAUCUUUCCCAAGAAUUAUGAGCCUCCUGCAAACCUGACGCUGAAUAAUAAAAGGUGAAGAGAAGAAAUGCCUUCUAUUGCAUAAGCCAAAAUAAAUAAGUUAAUUUUUUAAAGUGUGCAUUAUUCCUCCAGUGCAAGCAAAACCACUUCUGCAAAUUUCAUUGUAAGAGAAAGUCCAAAUGGGACAGAGGCUGAGUCAUCAAUUGAAAGCCAUCAAGCACGUCUCU
rnacentral:lncRNA from 1 species